UGUUCCUGAGCCUUGUACACACCGCCCGUCAAGUCAUGGGAGCCGGGAAUACCCGAAGUCGGCCCCGAUUCAGGGGUGCCGACGGUAGGCUCGGUGACUGGGACU
rnacentral:rRNA from 1 species